rnacentral:rRNA from 5 species
GGGUUGUGAGGUUAAGCGACUAAGCGUACACGGUGGAUGCCCUGGCAGUCAGAGGCGAUGAAGGACGUGCUAAUCUGCGAUAAGCGCCGGUAAGGUGAUAUGAACCGUUAUAACCGGCGAUUUCCGAAUGGGGAAACCCAGUGUGAUUCGUCACACUAUCAUUAACUGAAUCCAUAGGUUAAUGAGGCGAACCGGGGGAACUGAAA